UACGUAGGGCGCAAGCGUUGUCCGGAAUUAUUGGGCGUAAAGAGCUCGUAGGCGGUUUGUCGCGUCUGCUGUGAAAACCUAAGGCUCAACCUUGGGCUUGCAGUGGGUACGGGCAGACUAGAGUGCGGUAGGGGUGACUGGAAUUCCUGGUGUAGCGGUGGAAUGCGCAGAUAUCAGGAGGAACACCGAUGGCGAAAGCGGCUUCCUGGUCCAGCACCGACGUUCAGGCACGAAAGCGUGGGGAGCAAACAGG
rnacentral:rRNA from 1 species